UUUAGCUAGCUGCCGGACGCGUAGAGGUCCACGCGUGAGCAACGGGAAGGAUGACUGGACGAGACAUCAUGAUUGAAGCUACACUGAUGACGAGAUGAACAAGUAUUCCAUACUCGGUGUCGUCGGAGAAGGUGCUUACGGGUCGUGUUUAAAGGCAAACACAAGGAAACUGAUGAAUUGGUGGCAAUUAAAAAGUUCAAGGACAGCGAAGAUAACAACGAGGUGCGACGUACGACAAUGCAGGAGGUGAAGGUGUUUACGGGGCAGUAUGCAUG